rnacentral:misc_RNA from 1 species
UUUGUUAAUUAUAUGCAAUAUAUUUUCUUGUUAUAAAUAUUUAUCCCUUUUUGUUUUGCCUGACGUCACUUAGGCAAGUGGCUAAACAUGGCAACACUUAGCACCUUCCAUAGUUGUACCUAGGCCACCGGAACCCUUUGCACCUUAGUGUUCCUUUAAUAACUUUGAUAAACUUUAAAUGGAAAAUUUAAUCAAUAUAUAGACAAAAUG